GCUAAACAAAAGAAAAUGGUAUGUUACAUUUCAAUAGAUAUUCAGUUGGUUUUAUUUGGUAAUCAAUUUUAACAGAUAUUUUAGUGUUUUUGGAUGCAUUUAGUAGAGCUUGUUUGCUUGAUAUCCCAAAGCUCUGAGACGACUUUACAUAUCAUGCUGAUGACCUUUGUUGGGUAGGCUGGAAAUGAAAUUGCUAUGUGACCAUACAUUUGUAUUGGUUUAUUUGUAUUUAAGCAUUCUACAGUUUUGGUUAACAAUGAAUUAAUAUGUAGUAACACUAUUGAACUUUUAGUCUUGUCAUCAUUGCAACCCUACAUACAUUUUCGUAACGUUCUUUUAUUUCAAUUUUGGGAGUUUCAGAAUAUCCGAUCUGAUGCCUUAAAGACAUUUAGAAGCUGUGAGACAAUUUACACUGACAAUUCGUACCCAUGUCCAUUUAGAACCAAG